AUUUUAGCCCUGGAUUCCAGGUCUGUACUUGGACAUCAAAUGUCAAACUGACAUUUGAUGUCCAGGCAAUAACUACUGAAGCAUGAAAAGAACACAACUUGGUUAGACAAACUGCUGUUGUAUCUUCAUAUUGUGGAAUGGAGGGUCACAAUUGACCUUUUGGCGAGACUGACGAAUAAUAUUAAUAUACUUGAAAUGUGACAAAUUGGGCCUAGAGCAAAGUUACCAUGUUCGAGAUUAAAAGUAAGCUUAUUCACCACAAGGCUAAGCUCGUUUACUAUUGUAAUAUUAAUUGACCACUAUAACCAUGACUCAGUUUAAGAGACCACUUCUUUGAAUCUUUCAGUGUAAUUGCUCCUCUGACUGACAACCGCAUGGGCUCAUAUUAAAACCACAGAGCUAACAAAGAGGAAGGAAGUUCGUCAUUGCCUCCUCCACCCUAACUUGUGUCCGGGCAUCAUUUAAGAGAGAGCACAGCUUCUGCUGAGACACGUGGGGAAAUGAAGCUGGUGAGAGGCUGCAGUGGUUGAAUAACAAGACUGUUUCUGUCUUUAACCCCCACUUCUCCGCCGCCUUCUGCUGCACGUCUUUCUCCUCCUCCACCUCCCCCUUUUCGUUCUCUUCUUCUUCUCUCCUUGCGCUCUCCCCCGGCUACAGACUGGAGAAGAGUACGGCUCAACGCAGUGCAACUGCCGCCUUUAUAUACCGCUCUAUUUUUAGCUCUCACAAGCCCAACUAUUUUUAACCAAUAUGAUUUCAUCGCCCGUCUGGCUUGUCCAAUGGGAAGUCACGCAAUGGAGGCGACCCGUCCAAUUAGAGAGAGGUAAAAGAAAGAGGAGGCGGGUGACAGAAGAGCAUGGAAUCAGGUAGAAAGAUGGAAGGAGACAAAAACCUCUCACUCUACAACUGUUUCUAGAUACUAGAAACUCACUAGCUCAGGCUAACACACUGCUGAGCACUCAAACUAGACAAAGGGCCUCUGUGUGAUUAUGGUUCAUGUUCUCCUUGUCGGCUUGUCAUCUCUGUUCCUGCCUGGUCCUUGGUUUCUAACUGAUAGACGACUUCUUUCCAUUAUAAUGUCUACCAUUCAAAUAUCGAAGGAACUCAGCAACUCGCGAUAACUCCAAGAAUUCUGCACGUAGAAACACGGACCAAACGAAAGGUGGCAGCACUGUCAUAUUUAAGAGAACCAAGAUGCCCCAACCAACAUUCACUGGACUUUAUUUGAAUUUUAAACAAAUGUUGAUUUUUAAUCAUUAACUGCUGAAUUAAAAAAUUAUUAAAAAACAAACUGUAUGAGCCACGAU